rfam:Arabis alpina cultivar Pajares chromosome 4, whole genome shotgun sequence.
AGAAGGAAACAGAGCCAAGGUUAACUUGCCGGACACCAAAAUCGGUCUAAGAUUAGUUAGGUUAAAUCGGCAAGUCAUCCUUGGCUCAAUCUCAUUCUCU